rnacentral:rRNA from 1 species
CACGUAGGGCGCAAGCGUUGUCCGGAAUUAUUGGGCGUAAAGAGCUCGUAGGCGGUCUGUUGCGUCUGCUGUGAAAACCCGGGGCUUAACCCCUGGCUUGCAGUGGAUACGGACAGACUAGAGGUAGGUAGGGGAGAAUGGAAUUCCCGGUGUAGCGGUGAAAUGCGCAGAUAUCUGGAGGAACACCGGUGGCGAAGGCGGCAUCCUGGACCGGUAUUGACGCUGAUGCGCGAAAGCCAGGGAGCAAAGCGGG